rnacentral:rRNA from 1 species
CAGCAGCCGCGGUAAUACGAAGGGGGCUAGCGUUGCUCGGAAUGACAGGGCGUAAAGGGCGCGUAGGCGGAUUGCGCAGUCAGAUGUGAAAUUCCUGGGCUUAACCUGGGGGCUGCAUUUGAGACGCGUAGUCUAGAGUGUGAAAGAGGGUCGUGGAAUUCCCAGUGUAGAGGUGAAAUUCGUAGAUAUUGGGAAGAACACCGGUGGCGAAGGCGGCGACCUGGUUCAUAACUGACGCUGAGGCGCGAAAGCGUGGGGAGCAAACAGGAUUAGAUACCCGCGUAGUCCCUGUCUCUUAUAC